rfam:Otolemur garnettii contig060670, whole genome shotgun sequence.
GCCAGGCUCGGUGGUGAGUGCCUGUAGUCCCAGCUACUCAGGAGGCUGAGACAGGAGGAUAGCUUGAGGCCAGGAGUUCUGGGCUAUAGUGUGCUAUGCUGAUUGGGUGUCCACACUAUGUUGAGCAUCAGUAUGCCUCCAGAGGGUGGGAGGGGGGCACCAGGUUGCCUAAGGAGGAGUGAACCAGCCCAGGUUGGAGACAGAGCAGGUUAAAGUUCCCAUGUUGAUCAGUAGUGGGAUCACACCUGUGAAUAGCCAAUGUACUCUAGCCUGGGUAACAUAGUAAGUCCCUGUCGCUA